GGAACGGCACAAUGCCUCCAGAGACAGGAGAGAUAUAGCAUGCAGUUCUCUUGAGAAAAUUUCACAAAAACAAUGUUGUUGCUCGGACCGGUCAUACUUUUCUAUUAUUUUGGUGAAACUACUGGGUAUGGAAUCAAAUCAGAUAACAACACCAUAGUUUUAAUGGAGGAUAAAAACAUUACGCUCUCGUGCACAUAUGAAGGCUCAGUAGACAGUCUGUACUGGUACCGACAAAAACCUGAAUCAAGAUCAGAAUUUCUAAUAAUGAUUGAUGAAGCUUCUGAAUAUGUGACAAAAGCCAAUCCACCUGACCCCCGUCUGUCAAUCAAACUUCAUAAAGCACAAAAUCGUGUUCAUCUGGAAAUCUCCUCUGCAGCAGUUAUGGAUUCUGCUAUGUAUUACUGUGCUUUGAGGCCCACAGUAACAGGAAACACACACACACUCUACUAAAAGUGAAAUUUCCAUGAGACAUUACACCCAGAGGGAAUCUUCGGCACGGAAGUUAAAUUUUGAGAAUGACAAUUCAACUUCAAUCUCAACCACCAUAUUCAAAUCCUGGAGUUCUGCAACCAGCAUAAUGUGACAGCAGCUACAAUGAGUGCUCCACCAUUGAGACAAAUGUGGUGUAGUCGAUUUACAGGGGGGGAUUUUUAUUACACUGCCACUUCUUUUUUCUAAGGCACGUUUAUAAAAGCUACUUAAAUGCUUUAACCGAACUAAGCCCUCAUCCUGGCUUAAUCUGAGAUUUGUCUGUGAAACCAGGCCAAAUCCUCCCAAACGAAAAUAUCUGGGCAAAGAAAUGUGGGUGGAAAUGUUAUCAAUACUUGAAUCAAUUGUAUGUACAAGUCUGUCAUUUAACAUGUAUUAUUUAUUAUUCAUAAGAUUG